GACGAACGCUGGCGGCGUGCCUAAUACAUGCAAGUCGAACGAGAGCGACCGGUGCUUGCACUGGUCAAUCUAGUGGCGAACGGGUGAGUAACACGUGGGUAACCUGCCCAUCAGAGGGGGAUAACAUCCGGAAACGGAUGCUAAAACCGCAUAGGUCUUCGAGCCGCAUGGCUUGAAGAGGAAAAGAGGCGCAAGCUUCUGCUGAUGGAUGGACCCGCGGUGCAUUAGCUAGUUGGGGAGGUAACGGCUCACCAAGGCCGUGAUGCAUAGCCGACCUGAGAGGGUGAUCGGCCACAUUGGGACUGAGACACGGCCCAAACUCCUACGGGAGGCAGCAGUAGGGAAUCUUCCGCAAUGGACGCAAGUCUGACGGAGCAACGCCGCGUGAGUGAAGAAGGUUUUCGGAUCGUAAAACUCUGUUGUUAGAGAAGAACAAGUGCUAGAGUAACUGUUAGCGCCUUGACGGUAUCUAACCAGAAAGCCACGGCUAACUACGUG
rnacentral:rRNA from 1 species